CUCCUGCAGUGCUCGGCCAAGCUCAGCCCUUGUUCAGCACACCAGCCCUGUGAGUCACACUGUCCCUGGAGGGACUGAGGAAUGUCCAGGGGUUGGUAGUGGCACAAAGGAUGGAGCCACUGAAACGCGGUGGGUGGACACAGGAAGAGGACGGCCGCACAGCGAGGCCACGCCUGGCCUGGCUCGGAGGAUGCGAGGAGGAUUCUCCAGCAGGCAGGCAUGGUUAGGUGAGAAGGUCAAUCUGGCCCUGCGGGUUAUGCUGCCGGUUACAUGAGAACCUCGUCGGCAUGAAGAGGCCAGGCAGGUCCUCCGACAGUGCCACAGCCCCAGGCUUGUGCAGCUAAAUCACGGAGGCCUUCCAGGCCCUGAACAGGAACCGGACGGGGCCCGAAUGACACUGCUGGGGGGCCGCUCUCUGGAUGCCAUUGUGGCCGGGUACCGGGAUGGUCGGCUGCUUGAUUCCAUGACUUAAAGCUAGAUUUGGCCUUUUAAGCCUCUGUCUCAGUGCCCUUGGGUCCCUUCUGCGGCUCACCUACCUGUCUCUCGGUCUCUGGGGUGGGCUGGCAGGGUUCAUUCUGGGACCUAGGUGGUGUGGCAGCAGUGGCUGUCAUGGUGCAGAGCCGGCUUCUCGGAGUGCCUGGUCUGGGGAUCCCCAGGGAAGGCACUGAAGCUGUCUCCUUGGCUCCCGGGC
rnacentral:lncRNA from 1 species